GAACAUUACAGUUUUAUAAAUCAGUGUAUUUAAAUGUGCAUAUACAAGUUACAAGAAGCCUGUAAAUUCCAAAGUUUCUAAACUAACAUGUCAAUGGAGGUUGCUGGAAGAAUGUUCUGUAAGCCUUGUGGAGAUGACACUAAACGUGUACCUGCAAACGGUCUAUGUCGCGAAUGUGAGGAACAUAUGUGUAUAGCGUGUUUCGGAAACCAUAAAAAAUACAAAAUAUGUAAAGACCACAGAUGGGUUGAUAUUGAUACAAACGUUCCAGACAUUAGUGAGACAAUUGAAGAAAAGUUCGAAAAUUGUCUGAAGCACAAAAAUGAAAAAACAAAAUUUUAUUGUUCAAACAACGAAGAAGUAGGCUGUGGUGACUGUACGAUAUUAGAACACAAUACGUGUAAAGUUGAAUAUAUAAGUGAUAUAUCGAAAACGUUUAAGAACAGUAAGGAACUUAACGACUUUGUCAAAAAUGUUGAUUCUUGUCAGAAAGAAGUGACCAAAUUCUACACAUCACUCACUGAUAAUAAGGUACAGGUUGAAGAUAUAUAUCAGGGAUUUCUUGCCGAUAUUAAAUCAUACCGAGAUGAAAUAAAUAUCCGUUUAGACAAACUGGAAGAACGAUUGGUUCAAAAGGCAAAAGAUGCUAAAACAACCGAUAGACUUUUCAUUGAUUCACUUGAAACAUCAUGCGAAGAUCUAAAAAAAGAGUUAUCGCAAAUAAGUGAUGAACUUGUGUCUAGAACUGACGAACCAAACACAUUAUUUGUCACUGCAAUGCGGUGUAAGCGUGUGUUAAAGGGAAUCAAGCAUAAACUCUGUAGUGCCAUUCCAAAUAACAUAGUUAGCAAUUACCGUUUCAAAAGGAACAAUAAAAUUGAAGAGCUAUUGGAACAGGCCGAGCUUGGGACUAUAGUUUCAAUGCACGAAGAAAACACACCGGAACCGGAUUCUCUAGAUUACGAGGAUCCUAUUUCUUUACAUGUAGAACUGAGAACCAGCAACAGAACAAUAUACGAAGACAAUAUAUCAAUACCAGAUUCACAAGAGUAUAAGGAGGUAUUUGAAGAUAUUCCAGUGAGAGAAAGUCCCCAUAAAAGAAGAUCAAAAAGCCGAACGUCUUGGUCCUUAUUUGUGUGAAAACAUUUUUAUGGCUAGAGAGUACCUCAGUUUCAAAGACAUCAGACAAGGAGAUAUUGGCUUAUACAUUGGGAAAGACCAUUAAAACUGGCACGAACUUUGAAGUUGGGAUAAUAAACAGCGACGACAGAGGCAAUAUUGGUACGCGUACUAGAACUAAACAAUCCGCCCUUUUGCAAAAUGUACCCAGCAAUGAGAUUAAAAGCUUCCGGUUACAAAGCAAGAGUAAUACUUGACGCGACAGAACCAUAACAAAGGACAUAUAAUGCAAGUUGUGUGAAAUAUAACCAAUUUCCAGAGACAGGGAGGAAUUCGGCUGAAGUUGAAGUAUAUGAUUGUGCCAAAGUGAUGUGAAGAACUAAUGCUUAUUUCAUGUAGAUACAGCUUGACUGUAUUAUCAAAAAUUAUUUUUGUUAAAGUCAUAGACAUGUGUUGCACACAGAUUGAAAUAUCCAGCUUAUAUAUUCACAUGUCAUGUCACCUAUAUUUAUACACUUUGUAAAAAAGUCAACAUUUUUGGUUCGUUUUUAAAGAUAUCCUGUGGCUAAAAUAAUAUAUUUAGAUAUUGACUUCAAAUGUAGAGUCCUCAUCAAAUAUAUAUAACUUUACAAAAUAUAUAAAUUAAUAUAUAAAUUAAUUGGUUAUGUAGAGCUUCAUUUUAGUGGUACAUCACAUUUAUACUGUGUUCCGCUAUAUAUGUAAACAGUAUGUACUAUUUUCAACCUAAUUCAUAGCACUGUUAAUAUACAUAAACUUGGCUAUUUUAUGUUUACAUAAAGUAUACAUAGAAUUUUUGCUCAUGUUUUCAAAUAUGAUAUUUGGGUCAAGUAUAUCUUUAACAUUCCUUAUUUGUAUUUGAUUCAUAGAGGAUAUUCAAGUUGUUUUUCAUGAAUGAAGUUUUAUCACAAUUUUCAUUUACCAAUAUGACAGCUCCUAAAUUUGAUGUGUGUAAAUUUGACAUGGCAACUGGAGAAUUACAAUUUGGGUAAUGCGUAUAAAUUGAAUUAUUUCUAGCGCCAAUUCUUUAUGUUCAUGCGUAUAAAUUGCACUAUUGCAAGUGCGCAAUUACUAGUUACAAAUAGCAUUGAAUUUCACUGAAAAUUAAAAAUAUCUGUUUCGAACUUUUUAUUUCUUUCUAUCGUAUUUCUAUAUUAGUUGUUUCCAAUGUGUUAUUUCUUUUCAUUCUAAUUACGUAUUUAACUUGCAAAAUAGAC